UUUUCCCAUCAUAAUCUACUGGACUAAACUGAUUAGAGACAGGCAGGAAGUAAAAGAAAUACGGCACCGUUACACGAAAAGAGGGCGAGAGAGCAGAUCUCCGAUGGCUGGGAAGGAGGAAUUUGUGGAGGCAGAUAAUGCAGAGGCCAUAAUCACCAGAAUCGAACACAAAUCUCGCAAGAUCGAAAGCUUACUUAAACUGUAUCAUCAGCUUCUUCUCCUUCUUCUUUCCUUCUCUCUCUAAACCCUAACACUUUCUAUAUCACAGGUUCAAACCUGUGGAAGCUCUCAAAACCGCCCUCGAAGGCUCGCCUCCUAAGACUAGAGACGAGCGAUGCAAGGUUUUUCCAUCUCCUUAACUGAUAUUUUUCCUUUGUUUCUCCUAAUGGACCUCCUUUUCCUCGAUUCUCAAGUUUUAUUAAUGCAUUAAAUGCCAAUGUUUGCCUGUAAGCGGGAAUGAAGAGAAAUUGACUUAGGGUUAUUGCAGUCUGCGAAUUGGAUAGUGGUGCAUAGAGCGAUCAUGGCUAUAAAGGAUGUGGAUGGGAUUUUCUCUUUGUUGGACCCUGAGUACUACGAUAUUCUUAUGAAGUAAGUACUCCUCUUGCAACAGCAGAUCAUUUCUCUAAGACCUUUUUAUUAUGGUGUUCUUGGCACUUUUAGCCGUCAUGAGAAAAGAAAAAAAAAGGUAGAAUGAAACAGAUUUAGCCCAUCAGUCAUGAUCCUGCUUUUAGAACUUAUUUUAUAAAUACUCAUUGCCAUAUCUCAGCUGAGCAGAUGUGUUCAGUUGCUCUAUCUGAUCAUGGAUGUUUAUGUACAUUUGUAACUGUUUUUUGCACUUUGCCUACCAAACCAUGCUUUUGUUUAUGUUGAUAUCUGCUCUAUCCUUCAGGACAUGUGGUUAUAUAUUGAAAGAUUAAAUGCUAUUAUUGUGGACUUCAAAAGUAAAAAUCAAGCCAAGGCUUUUUGAAUUUGACAUUUUUAUUCUGUUGAAAUGUACCUGGUUGAGCAUUUGCUUUCCAUUGAUCAGCAUUUGGGCAGUUAAAAUUUUGAAAUUUUCCAUUGCUGGCUAUUUGUUUUUAUAGUGUAAUAGUUCACUAAAGGCCUGCUGCAACUUCUGAACAAAACACACCCUUUCUAGCUAUUAAAAACUUUCUGGUUAUCUCUAUUAUUUUGCACCUUUGAAUUUAACUUUCACUGUGAUGAACGGAAAACGAGGACUGGGACGGAAAUGAGAUGACAGGCUCGGAGAUGCUUUCGGGCUGUUUCUGAAAAUACUGGAAAUUGAACAUGCGUUUACGGCCACGAACACGUGUUUCUUUAAAAUAAUAAUAAUAAUAAUA
rnacentral:misc_RNA from 1 species